AUAUCAAUAAGCGGAGGAAAAGAAACCAACAGGGAUUGCCCCAGUAACGGCGAGUGAAGCGGCAAUAGCUCAAAUUUGAAAUCUGGCGUCUUCGGCGUCCGAGUUGUAAUUUGUAGAGGGUGUCUCGGGUGGAGUACCGGUCCAAGUCCCUUGGAAUAGGAUAUCAUAGAGGGUGAGAAUCCCGUAUCCGAUCGGUCCCCUCCCCCGCUGUGAGACCCCUUCGACGAGUCGAGUUGUUUGGGAAUGCAGCUCCAAAUGGGUGGUAAAUUCCAUCUAAAGCUAAAUACUGGCCAGAGACCGAUAGCGCACAAGUAGAGUGAUCGAAAGAUGAAAAGCACUUUGAAAAGAGAGUUAAACAGUACGUGAAAUUGUUGAAAGGGAAGCGUAUGCGGCUAGACUUACCCGCGGUUGCUCAACCCGUCUUUUGGCGGGUGUACUCUUCCGCGGUUAGGCCAGCAUCGGUUUGGGCGGUUAGAUAAAGACGUCGGGAACGUGGCCCCCCUCGGGGGGUGUUAUAGCCCGUCGUGCAAUGUAGCCAGCCCGGACCGAGGCCCGCGUUCUGCUAGGAUGCUGGCGUAAUGGCCGUAUACGG
rnacentral:rRNA from 1 species